UACAGAGGUCUCAAGCGUUGUCCGGAAUCAUUGGGCGUAAAGCGCGUGUAGGCGGCCCGAUAAGUCCGCUGUGAAAGUCCAGGGCUCAACCCUGGGAUGCCGGUGGAUACUGUCGGGCUCGAGUCCGGAAGAGGAGAGUGGAAUUCCUGGUGUAGCGGUGAAAUGCGCAGAUAUCAGGAAGAACACCCGUGGCUAAGGCGGCUCUCUAGUACGGUACUGACGCUGAGACGCGAAAGCGUGGGGAGCGAACAGG
rnacentral:rRNA from 1 species